rnacentral:hammerhead_ribozyme from 1 species
AUUCAGCCGACGAGUUCCAAAUAGGACAAAACGUGAGUCCUGGAU